GAGUUUGAUCGUGGCUCAGAUUGAACGCUGGCGGCAUGCUUUACACAUGCAAGUCGAACGGCAGCACGGGGUUUACCCUGGUGGCGAGUGGCGAACGGGUGAGGAAUACAUCGGAACGUGUCUAUAAGUGGGGGAUAACGCAUCGAAAGGUGUGCUAAUACCGCAUAAUCUCUCAGGAGAAAAGCAGGGGAUCGCAAGACCUUGCGCUUUAGGAGCGGCCGAUGCCUGAUUAGCUUGUUGGUAAGGUAAAAGCUUACCAAGGCUUCGAUCAGUAGCUGGUCUGAGAGGACGACCAGCCACACUGGGACUGAGACACGGCCUAGACUCCUACGGGAGGUAGCAGUGGGGAAUUUUGGACAAUGGGGGAAACCCUGAUCCAGCCAUGCCGCGUGAGUGAAGAAGGCCUUCGGUUGUAAGCUCUUUCAGUCGGAACGAAACGGUUACGAUUAAUACUCGUAAUUAAUAGACGGUACCGG
rnacentral:rRNA from 1 species